rnacentral:sRNA from 1 species
CUUGUGAGUGGCCCAUCUUUGUUGGCCUACGAACUUUGGUUUGAUGCCAGUCAGGUGCCAAAUGAGAACCUUUGCUGAGAUGCAAAUAAAAUGAAGAUCUCCUUCAACGACAAAAGCCUGCAGACCACAU